rnacentral:rRNA from 1 species
CAGCUAGCCCAAUCACCCAAUAAUUAAACAAUGUAAAUAAAACAAAAUAAGCCUAACGCCAAAAAUUAAAUCAUUUUUUUACCUUAGUAUGGGCGACAGAAAAGGUUACACCUGGAGCAAUAGAAAAAGUACCGCAAGGGAAAGCUGAAAGAGAAGUGAAAUAACUCAUAUAAGCACUAAAAAGCAAAGAUUAAAUCUUGUACCUUUCGCAUCAUGAUUUAGCCAGUAUACCCAAGCAAAGAGACCUUUAGUUUGAAACCCCGAAACCAAGUGAGCUACCCCGAGACAGCCUAUUAAGGGCCAACCCGUCUCUGUGGCAAAAGAGUGGGAAGAGCUCCGGGUAGAGGUGACAAACCUACCGAACUUGGUGAUAGCUGGUUGCCUAAGAAAUGAAUAGAAGUUCAGCCUCGUUCUCCCCGAAUCAAAAAGUAAGAGGAUACUAGAGGGAAACAUACGAGAGUUAGUUGAAGGGGGUACAGCCCCUUUAACAAAGGACACAACCUUUCCAGGAGGAUAAAGAUCAUAAUACAUAAGACAUCCUGUUCUAGUGGGCCUAAAGGCAGCCAUCUAAACAGAAAGCGUUAAAGCUCAGACAGAAAUAAGUUUAUUAUUCCGACAAGAAAUCUUACUCCCCUAAUAUUAUUAGGCCAGCCCAUGCCCACAUGGGAGAGACUAUGCUAAAAUGAGUAACAAGAAGGCAAGCCCUUCUCCAAGCACAAGUGUAAGCCAAACCGGACUAACCAUUGGCAAUUAACGAACUCAACCCAAGAGAGCAGUGUGGACUACAAUAAAACCAGGAAGAACCCACAACCGACCUAUCGUUACCCCCACACUGGUGUGCUGUUAAUGGAAAGACUAAAAGAAGGGGAAGGAACUCGGCAAACACAAGCCUCGCCUGUUUACCAAAAACAUCGCCUCCUGCAACACAACCAAGUAUAGGAGGUCCAGCCUGCCCAGUGACUACAAGUUCAACGGCCGCGGUAUUUUGACCGUGCAAAGGUAGCGCAAUCACUUGUCUCUUAAAUAGAGACCUGUAUGAAUGGCUAAACGAGGGCUUAACUGUCUCCCCCCUCCAGUCAGUGAAAUUGAUCU